GUCCACGCCGUAACGAUGUCUACUAGCCGUUGGAGACUUGAUUCUUAGUGGCGCAGCUAACGCAAUAAGUAGACCGCCUGGGAGUACGGCCGCAAGGUUAACUCAAUGAAUUGACGGGCCCGCACAAGCGGUGGAGCAUGUGGUUUAAUUCGAUGCAACGCGAAGAACCUUACCAGGUCUUGACAUCCAGAGAACUUUCCAGAGAUGGAUUGGUGCCUUCGGGAGCUCUGAGACAGGUGCUGCAUGGCUGUCGU
rnacentral:rRNA from 1 species